rnacentral:rRNA from 1 species
AUUGAACGCUGGCGGCAUGCUUUACACAUGCAAGUCGAACGGUAACAGGCCGCAAGGUGCUGACGAGUGGCGAACGGGUGAGUAAUGCAUCGGAACGUGCCCAGUCGUGGGGGAUAACGCAGCGAAAGCUGUGCUAAUACCGCAUACGAUCUGUGGAUGAAAGCGGGGGACCUUCGGGCCUCGCGCGAUUGGAGCGGCCGAUGUCAGAUUAGGUAGUUGGUGGGGUAAAGGCUCACCAAGCCAACGAUCUGUAGCUGGUCUGAGAGGACGACCAGCCACACUGGGACUGAGACACGGCCCAGACUCCUACGGGAGGCGGCAGUGGGGAAUUUUGGACAAUGGGCGCAAGCCUGAUCCAGCAAUGCCGCGUGCAGGAAGAAGGCCUUCGGGUUGUAAACUGCUUUUGUACGGAGCGAAAAGGCUCCCUCUAAUACAGGGGGCUCAUGACGGUACCGUAAGAAUAAGCACCGGCUAACUACGUGCCAGCCGCCGCCGUAAAAC